AACUAAAUUUUAUAUUUACAUUUUCUUAAAUAAACAAAACUUUUUUAUAUUCAAUUUACAAAUUUUUAAAUGAUAUACUUGUAUUCCAUUUUUAUUCCAUUAUAUACUUUUAAGAACACACAAACAUUUUAUAUUUAAUGUUUCAUUGACUUGUUGACGUGGACUAAACAGGAUUUUGCAUUGCAAUGAGAUAAAGCUUAAAAUUUCAGGUUACAAUUUCCAUUCAUAAAUUUUACAUGGAGACAUUUUAAUGCUGCUAAUUUGCAAAAUUGAUUUUUUUUUUAACAUGUUUUUUUUUUGUUCAACCCCCUCACUCUGUUGACCUUGAUUUUAAGUAGAAGGUACUUAAUGCUUACCACAACUUCAGACCUAGACUUUAAGUAGAAGUUACUUAAUGCUUACCACAACUUCAGACCUAGACUUUAAGUAGAAGGUACCUAAUGCUUACCACAACUUCAGACCUAGACUUUAAGUAGAAGGUACUUAAUGCUUACCACAACUUAGACCUAGAUUUUAAGUAGAAGGUACUAAAUGCUUACCACAACUUCAGGCCUAGGUCUAAAAGGUUCAGCUCAUUUUUGUAUUUAAAUAUUGAUAUUAAUAGGUCAGAGGUUCAAUUUUGAACUAAAUAUCUAAGAAUUGAAUUAGAAGAAAGUAAAUCAGCAAGGUCUCAUUCUAUAACUCCAAUCAUUUAGACUCAGUUAAUAAAUAGCUGUUGACUGGAAUCAUUCAGAGACUGUAAUGGAAACAAAAGGGUCGAGACAUAGAGACGAAAAAGGUUUGUGGCGAGCUAUUUGUUGUGUAGGUUCAAUUGAGAUGAUGCGUGUUGGCUUACUGUGUACCAAGAUGGCAACGGCUGAUUACAUUUAAAAAUUCUGUUUGAGGUCUAUUUCUGUUUGUCUCUUUAUGGGUUAUUCUUUUUUUUAAUUUUAUAUCUGGCCUCAAUUCUUUACUUGUUUCCUUUUUAAAUUAUAGAUUAUAACUCAGUUGUUAAUUUUUUAACUAGAACUUUCUAGGUCCAUAAAUAACAUCUAAUUAUAAAGCACGUUCUACCUUUUUCUUUUAGGUUUUUUUGCUUGGUUAAAAAUGUUUGCUAGUUACCUUUACCUAUCCCUUAGUCUGUUGGACUGUUGGGGCACCAUGCCAGAUUUGUUGACCGUCUUUCUCCAUUCCUCUCUGCCUUUAGCCUUGGAUAGAACCUCUUUCAGUGGCAGGCCCAUCACUUCUUUUAUGUUGUGUUCCCAUCACUUUCUCUGUCUGCCUCUUCUUCUUCUUUCUCCUGGUACUGUUCCCUGAAGGAAGGUUUUUGCGAGCCCAGAAUAUAAUAUGGCUAUAUAGUUUAAGUUUUAGUGAGUUUUUUUUUUACAAUAGUUAG
rnacentral:sRNA from 1 species